UGAAUAAAGUUGGUUCACAAUGAAGAAGUGAAGAAGUGCCCAGUCAUCUGAUGUUGGUGUAAAGAGAACUCUUAGUUCAUAUGGGGUCAUCUUGCAUGUGUCCAGAGUCUGUUUUGUAGACUUUGCAGUCUUCUUUCUCAUGAGGGGGCUGCAAUCUGACACGCUGCUACGAGCAAUUGGUGUUCUUGCUUCACCUAUUGCUGAUGCAAAUAAGAAUUAUUGGGGAACUGGAUGAGAAGGUCAUAACGUGGGAAUUCAUGUUGUACAACCAUUUUGACAGUAUGCAUGACCAAUACAAAACAGGGAUUGAUAUCCUUCGUCAAGAGGGUUUGUUGGGGACUUCGCUGGCAUUGUUUGCCAAGCCUGGUGUGGCCGUUCAGAGAUUUCUCAAUGUCAUGUUAUGAGGUUUUGCUGAUGAGCAUUGUGGUUUUUUGGAUGCUCUCUUAGGAAAGAUCAAGGAUUAUUGGGAAAAUCACUUUCUAUGAUUCUAAAGGCACUAAAGCACUUCCAGGUUUCUUCUUAAGAUUCCAUGAGUUGUUCAUAUUUCAAAAUUUAAUGGAGAAGUUGGAGCUUCUAAUUUGUGGAUUCCAAGAGGUUAAUAGGAGUUGGUUUUCCUUUUCAAAUGUUGCAGGAGAUUGUAUACCCAUAUUUUCUCACAAAUUUUGAAUCAUUGCUCGGUCUUUGCAGUGGUUGAUCCGAAAUCCAAUACUGUGUUUACUGGUGCACAACUACUUUGGUGUGUCAUUAUCAAGGCAUUCAACAUCUUAAACAUGCCAGAGUUGCUGCAAUUUGGCACUGAAACGCCGAAGGUAAAUGUGAUUGAUAGCUUAAAACUGUCUCAAUUCUAUUUUUUUUUCUCUUUUUUAUUUUAAGAAAAUAGUUUCCGAAGGUUUUCUAAAUAUGAUUGAUAGCUUACAACUGUCUCAAUU